GAUGAACGCUGGCGGCGUGCCUAAUACAUGCAAGUCGAGCGAACAGACGAGGAGCUUGCUCCUCUGACGUUAGCGGCGGACGGGUGAGUAACACGUGGAUAACCUACCUAUAAGACUGGGAUAACUUCGGGAAACCGGAGCUAAUACCGGAUAAUAUAUUGAACCGCAUGGUUCAAUAGUGAAAGACGGUUUUGCUGUCACUUAUAGAUGGAUCCGCGCCGCAUUAGCUAGUUGGUAAGGUAACGGCUUACCAAGGCAACGAUGCGUAGCCGACCUGAGAGGGUGAUCGGCCACACUGGAACUGAGACACGGUCCAGACUCCUACGGGAGGCAGCAGUAGGGAAUCUUCCGCAAUGGGCGAAAGCUUGACGGAGCAACGCCGCGUGAGUGAUGAAGGUCUUCGGAUCGUAAAACUCUGUUAUUAGGGAAGAACAAAUGUGUAAGUAACUAUGCACGUCUUGACGGUACGUAAUCAGAAAGCCACGGCUAACUACGUG
rnacentral:rRNA from 1 species